rnacentral:rRNA from 1 species
GUCGGGAAUAUUGGGCAAUGGGCGAAAGCCUGACCCAGCAACGCCGCGUGCGCGAUGAAGGCCUUCGGGUCGUAAAGCGCUUUUCGGGAGGAUGAGGAAGGACAGUACUCCCGGAAUAAGUCACGGCUAACUACGUGCCAGCAGCCGCGGUAAAACGUAGGUGGCGAGCGUUAUCCGGAUUUACUGGGCGUAAAGCGCGUUUAGGCGGUCGCGCAAGUCGGGCAUGAAAUCUCUCGGCUCAACCGGGAGAGGCUGUCCGAUACUGCGUGACUUGAGGGCAGUAGAGGAUGGUGGAAUUCCGGGUGUAGUGGUGAAAUGCGUAGAUAUCCGGAGGAACACCAGUGGCGAAAGCGGCCAUCUGGGCUGCUCCUGACGCUCACGCGCGAAAGCUAGGGGAGCGAACGGGAUUAGAAACCCCUGUAGUCC